UACGAAGGGGGCUAGCGUUGUUCGGAAUUACUGGGCGUAAAGCGCACGUAGGCGGACAUUUAAGUCAGGGGUGAAAUCCCAGAGCUCAACUCUGGAACUGCCUUUGAUACUGGGUGUCUUGAGUAUGGAAGAGGUGAGUGGAAUUCCGAGCGUAGAGGUGAAAUUCGUAGAUAUUCGGAAGAACACCAGUGGCGAAGGCGGCUCACUGGCCCGUUACCGACGCUCAGGCGCGACAGCGUGGGGAGCAAACAGG
rnacentral:rRNA from 1 species